UCAUCUUCAAAAUGCAGUCGUCCGUUGUCAGCUGGAAAGGUUAUGACUGCGGAUGCAAAUUAUUUUCGCGCUAACCAGAAAACGCUCUGACGUGAGCUUACACAGGGCCCAGAUGGAGGACAGAGGACAGGGAUACCGGCACAGGCGAAGCGUCAUCACAGCACCGCAAUCAUCUGGUUCCUUCUAUCCUUCUUUGCGCGGCCAAAGGUCCCCAAAGGUCACUGGCUCACUCUGUUUGUGCCAGCAACAGACAAAGCCGUUUACACGACAUCAAAGAGUCAGGGUAGGAGCGGAGACCUGUCCGUCAAGCCAGCGUUUGAGGUGCCUUCCGGAGGUUUCUGCUCCACAGUCUUACAUUAAGAAUAUUAAAGAGCUUAUUGAUAUGUAACGUAUUACUGUAAUGUAUUUUGCCUUGUGGAACCUACUAUGACAAUAAACGGCCAUUUGGCAUUCCUUGUCUAAUGUUGUCAUUUACAUUUCCGAAUGAGUGUGUGUGUGUUUUGGUAUUUACCAGUUUUGUACGUAUUGUUGUACUUUCAUUGUGUCA